UACGUAGGCAGCAAACGUUGUUCGGAAUUACUGGGCGUAAAGAGUGUGUAGGCGGUUCUGUAAGUUUGGUGUGAAAUCUCCCGGCUUAACUGGGAGGGUGCGCCGAAAACUGCAAGGCUUGAGUGCUGGAGAGGAUAGCGGAAUUCCUGGUGUAGCGGUGAAAUGCGUAGAUAUCAGGAGGAACACCGGUGGCGAAGGCGGGUCUCUGGGCCGAUACUGACGCUGAGGAGCGAAAGCGUGGGGAGCGAACAGG
rnacentral:rRNA from 1 species